UUGUGGAGGAGGACGCCGAAGGUGGGGCUGAUGACUGGGUGAAGUCGUAACAAGGUAGCCGUACCGGAAGGUGCGGCUGGAUCACCUCCUAACAGGGAGACAAAAACCGAUCUUGAUGUCUGAGCAUUUAUUCUUAGGCCAAGAUCCUGUCACCUUAGGUCGAUCGGUACCUCAGAUUGAAGAGCAAAAUAAAACGAGAGAUCGCUUUGUUUAUUGUUCAAUUUCAGUUCCUAAACUUGUCUAGGUCACACCCAACAAACUUUCUCCUGGGCUAUUAGCUCAGGCGGUUGAGCGCACCCCUGAUAAGGGUGAGGUCCCUGGUUCAAGUCCAGGAUGGCCCAUUCGUUGUUGGGGGUAUAGCUCAGUUGGUAGAGCGCCUGCUUUGCAAGCAGGAUGUCAGCGGUUCGAGUCCGCUUACCUCCACUGAUCAACUACCUGAUAACUCAAAUUGGAGAUUGUUAUUUGUUAAAUGUGAUUUAGAGUUGUUCAACUGAAUGAACCUAGCUUCCUAUCACUCCUGAAUUAAUUUUAGGCUGAUAAGACGCUGGGCUCACUGAAUGUUCUAAAGAAUGUUCAGUUUGUUUCAGCAGAACCUUGACAACUGCAUAGAAAAAUCUAGAAAAACAAAGCAUCUCAUAGAUGCAUAAAAGGUCUUUCAUUUUUGAAUGACUACUCUUUUAUGUUCAAUUCUUGAGUUAGAGCAAAUUUUCUAUUACUUGAUUCACUUAGAUAAUAAUUUAAGUGAUAUCUAAUUCAUUUUAGAUAAGUUUAAUAGAUUAAUGGUCAAGCUACAA
rnacentral:misc_RNA from 1 species